rnacentral:rRNA from 1 species
UCGUCAGCUUACCCUAUGAAGGACCCACAGUAAGCAGAACUAGUACAACUCAAAACGCCAGGUCGAGGUGUAGCAUAUGAGAGGGGAAGAAAUGGGCUACAUUCCCUACCACAGGGAAUACGAACAAUGUAAUGAAAUAUACAUUAGAAGGAGGAUUUAGCAGUAAGCAGAAAAUAGAGCGUUCCGCUGAAACCGGCCCUGAAGCGCGCACACACCGCCCGUCACUCUCCCCAAGCCAACCAACACCCCAUAAAUAAUACAUUUUACCGGUAAAGGGGAGGCAAGUCGUAACAUGG